rnacentral:rRNA from 1 species
GACGAACGCUGGCGGCGUGCUUAACACAUGCAAGUCGAACGGAAAGGCCCUGCUUUUGUGGGGUGCUCGAGUGGCGAACGGGUGAGUAACACGUGAGUAACCUGCCCUUGACUUUGGGAUAACUUCAGGAAACUGGGGCUAAUACCGGAUAGGAGCUCCUGCUGCAUGGUGGGGGUUGGAAAGUUUCGGCGGUUGGGGAUGGACUCGCGGCUUAUCAGCUUGUUGGUGGGGUAGUGGCUUACCAAGGCUUUGACGGGUAGCCGGCCUGAGAGGGUGACCGGCCACAUUGGGCCUGCGAUACGGCCCAGACUGCUACGGGAGGCAGUAGUGGGGAAUAUUGCACAAUGGGCGGAAGCCUGAUGCAGCAACGCCGCGUGCGGGAUGACGGCCUUCGGGUUGUAAACCGCUUUCGACUGUGACGAAGCGUGAGUGACGGUAAUGGGUAAAGAAGCACCGGCUAACUACGUG